GACGGAGGGGGCUAGCGUUGUUCGGAAUUACUGGGCGUAAAGAGUGCGUAGGCGGUUUAGUAAGUUGGAAGUGAAAUCCCGAGGCUUAACCUCGGAACUGCUUUCAAAACUACUAAUCUAGAGUGUAGUAGGGGAUGAUGGAAGUCCUAGUGUAGAGGUGAAAUUCUUAGAUAUUAGGAGGAACACCGGUGGCGAAGGCGGUCAUCUAGGCUACAACUGACGCUGAUGCACGAAAGCGUGGGGAGCAAACAGG
rnacentral:rRNA from 1 species